rnacentral:tRNA from 1 species
AGAGAUAUAGUUCAGUGGCAGAACUGCUGAUAACACGCAGUAACACUGGUUCGAUUCCAGUUAUCUCAA